AGAGUUUUGCUCUGUCGCCCAGGCUGGAGUCCAGUGGCGUGGUCUCAGCUCACUCCGACCUCCACCUCCCAGGUUCAAGUGAUUCUCCUGCCUCAGCCUCUUGAGUAGCUGGAAUUACAGGCACUGCCACUAUGCCUGGCUAAUUAUUAUUUUUUGUAUUUUUAGCAGAGACGGGGUUUCACCAGGUUGGCUAGGCUGGUCUCGAUUCCUGACCUCAAGUGAUCUUCCUGCCUCAGCUUCCCAAAGUGCUGGGAUUACAGGCAUGAGCCGCCGCGCCUGGCCAUUGAGUCUUGAAUAGUUAAAACUUCCAAGAGGAGGAGACUGCCAGGGUGGUAAGGAGGCCCAUGUGCACGCGGAGCAGCAGAAGCAGCCGAAGCAGCUGAACUCCCCCCACAGGUCCUGGGGGCGGGCUGUGAGCGUCCCGGCACUGCAGGUGCCCGCAGAUGCAGGCGGGGCACAGGAUGAGCCAUUGGAGACUUCCCUCUUGCUUGAGAGAUGGGUUCUAGAAUGCUGUUUUAAAAUAACUCUUAGAGGUGGGUUAAGUGGGUGGAAUAUAGAUAGAGCAGGAAACUGCAGAAGGCACUGGCUGGGGGAAAGAGUCCCCUCAGAGAUGAGGAUGAGUUGAGUUUUUUCUCUGUUCAGUGACCGCGCCCCCUGCCCCCGCUCCAGCGAAGCCCCCUGUUUAUCAACCCACUUGGUCAGAAGACAUUUCACCACAGCCAGAAACCAGGUAUGAAUGAAUACCCAGGGAGCUGGAAACGCAAAUAAGAACCUCAGAACUUAUAAGCAAUCAGCCCCAUCACUCUAACAACAAUAACAACAACAAAAUAAAUCAACAAAGCUUACUGAACCAAAGCCAAUGGCAACAAAGAAUGCUGAAGUGGCCCCCAGAUUCCCCUGGCUCCACCCUCAGGACCAGCUUUCCUUCUUCUGUGAGAGACCCGUGCAGGCCCUUUAACCAGCCGGACUCCGCUCGGAGGGUCUCGCCUCGGCCUGGUGCUAUGACUGCUGAUGCCUACACAACUGCUUCCCCUCCUCACUAAACCCCAGCUCCCAUGCUGCCACCAAGCGGCAGGUUGCUAUUCUUUCCCGGGGUUGAAAUCCAAAUACUACCUGGGCUGUGUGACUCUCUAGUGUGGAUGCAGAUUAGGGUGGUAAGCCAAAGGGUUGAACUCCCAGUUCCACACCCGAUGGGAAAUGUCAUCUCUACACAGGGUCAGCUACUUCAUGUCCAUCGCACGCACCACCACCACGUGCAUGGUCUGCACCUGACCCAAGCUGAAUGAUGGACAUCACCUGUUGCCUUUGCCAGGCACUAUUCUAGGUACUUGGAAUAGAGGAAAAGAAAAAGGAUGAAGAUCGCUGCCGCAUGGGGCUCACAUUCUAGUAAGUGUGGGGAGAGUAGCCACAAAGGGCAACACAACUGUGUAACUCAUGCUGACGUUGGUGUGACAGGGGCAGAUGGUGAAAGGGCAGAGUUGGGCACAGAGGCCCGAGUGCGCUUUUUGGUGUCACAGCCAGGGCAGGCCUCUUAGAGGAGGAGGGAGGCAGAGAGCCUUCAGUUGGUCUAAGCUCUUACCCCAAGCUCAUUGCUUUUACCUGUUCUCUAGGAAUAUCUGCAAAAGCUCUGGCCCAGGGAGGUGGCAGUACAGGCCUGUAAACUCCUAAUAGAAGGUCCAGAGUCCAGAACUCUCCAUCUUAGAAAUGGGAACAAUUUCCUUACCAAGUCUCCACUCGAUAGGCAAUGUCCUCUCCUGAGGGCCAGGGAGCACGCCAUUCAAGGACUUGACUGCACUGGCUAAGCCAGGAGAGGGAGGAAGAGAAGAGGGUUAGUGUGUGAUUUUUUUUUUUUUUUUCGGAGACAGGGUCUGGCUCUGCCAUCCAGGCUGGAGUGCAGUGGUGCAAUCUUGGCUCACUGCAACCUCUGCCUCCUGGGUUCAAGCUAUUCUCGUGUCUUAGCCUCCCAAGUAGCUGGGACUCCAGGUGCAUGCCACCACGCCCAGCUAAUUUUUGUAUUUUUAGUAGAGAUGGGGUUUUGCCAUGUUGGCCAGGCUGGUCUUGAAAUCCUGACCUCAAGUGAUCCAUCCACUUCAGCCUCCCAAAAUGCUGGGAUUAUUGGUGUGAGCCACUGUGCCUGGCCUUUAAUGGAACUUUUCAAGGAACCAUUCAAAAAUAGUUGUUGGGGCUGGGUGAGGUGGCUCACGCCUGUAGUCCCAGUACUUUGGGAGGCUGAGGUAGGAGGAUUGCCUGAGCCCAGGAAUUCAAACCAGCCUAGGCAACAGAACAAGACCCUGUCUGUACGAAAAAUAAAAUUAGCUGGGCACAAGCCUGUGGUCCCAGCUACUCAGGAGGUUGAGGUGGGAGGAUCACUUGAGCCCAGGAGGUCAAGGCUGCACUGAGCUGUGAUUGCGCCACUGUACUUCAGUCUGGGUGACAGAACGAAACCCUGUCUCAAAAACAAAACGAAACAAAACAAACCCAAGACAAACAAAACAAACAAAAAUAGCUGUUGAACUGUUUCCUUUCUCCUCGACUGGCAAUGACACUGAGUUCCUUCCACUCAUGGAGGAGUCACUCCGGGACUCCCCGUGCACUGUCAGAACACCUCUAAGGCACCAUCUUCACUUCACUCCCUUGAAGAGCAACAAUCUCUCCCGUCUAAAGGGCCCCUGAGCUGCGUGGCAAACCAGCAAUGAAAGAAACAAAAAACCUGCAACAGAGUCGUAAGGUUUCAACUCUUGAGCACAAGCUCUUUCUCAUUUUGAUGCCCCUCUGAGACGGACUGGAAGGGACAGUGCGUGGGAAACACCCCUCUUCUGCCCCUGCUCUGCCUGGUGCCACACCCAUGGAAGGGGCAACUGCUCUGCAGACCUGAAGGUCAGCACGAAGGUCGCUUACUGGGUAGGGGCUGCCUGACGCAGCUUCCAUAGUGACUAUAAUUUAUUCACAGGCCCAUGUAUGGAGGUUUUUCUUCUAAAUAUCAUUAUUCUAAGCAUCAUCAUGGGCACAGUGGCUCACGCCUGUAAUUCCAGUACUUUGGGAGGUCGAGGCGGGAGGAUCACGAGGUCAGGUGAUCAAGACCAUCCUGGCUAACACGGCAAAACCCCGUCUCUACUAAAAAAUAGAAAAAAUUAGCCAGGCGUGGUGGCAGGUGCCUGUAGUCCCAACUACUCGGGAGGCUGAGGCAGGAGAAUGGUGUGAAGCCGGGAGACGGAGCUUGUAGUGAGCCGAGAUCGCGCCACUGCACUCCAGCCUGAGCCACAGCGUGAGACUCUGUCUUAAAAAAAUAAAAAAAUAAAAUAAAAUAAAAUAGAAAUCAUUAUUGUCUAGGCUUUUGGAGAAGCAUAUGCUGUGAAAAUGAUCACGGCUGUGCUCCUAAAAGCCAGUCAUGUUUCUGUAACAGUUUUCUGCAUGGACCCUCACUUUCAGAAAUGCAAAGGUGGCCUGAGAGCUGGGCACCUCACUUACUUGUAGGAGUAUGGUUUUGGUUCCUCUAAUGUGCCUGAUGUAGAAGAGAGGGAAGUCGGCACUCAACGAAGAGGAACACCAUUGUCAGGAUUAGGAGAAUGCUCUGCUUGGCAGGUAAAUCAAACCAGCAGCACAGCCCCACUAGGUGUCUCACCUCACUUCUGAGAGAUUUCCAGGUGGUUGAUGAGGGAAAAAUGCAGUCUCUUUUGAUUUUCAAUGGUCGUAGAAUAUCCCUUUUCAAAAUUCAUUGUAUGCAGAAUAAAAAUGUCACAUUCUGAGAAUGGAGAAUCUAUAGAAAGGGCCUGGAACCUUAGUAAUGAAUGAGUUUUCACAUUUUAACCUUCGUAAAGGGAAUACUACCCAUGUUGCCAUGAAAAUCAAGCCAAGAUCAAUUAGUAACAUAGUCUUAUAAACAUAACGCACUUGGGUAACUUUCUGUGGAUGAAUACUAGUCUCUGAGACACGCACUCCUUAUUUGACCAAGUAACACAUUAAAACGCAGCCACUGCUUAUGACAAGUGAGCCCCUCAAGAAAAUACGAGCAUAAAGAGUGGCCACUGCAUCAGGGCAUUCCAGAAACUCAUUUUUCUUAAAGGAAUUUAACUUCUAGUACUCAAUGUGUCCUUGAGAAUGCAAAAAUGGAAAACAAUUCAAAAUCAGUCCCAGCUACAAAGAUAAGGAAGAGGAAGUCCGCUGUGGCCCAGCCUCUGCUUGGCAGGGCUCUGCUCCACCUCUGCAGAAAUUAUGCACAGGAACCUGCUGUGAUGGGUGUUUCUGGGGUAGGAAUCUUUUUUUUUUUUUGAGAUGAAGUCUUGCUCUGUUGCCCAGGUUUGAGCAUAAUGGCAAGAUCUCGGUUCACUGCAACCUUCGCCUCCUGGGUUCAAGCGAUUCUCCUGUCUCCGCCUCCCGAGUAGCUGGGAUUACAGGUGUGCGCCACAUGCCUGGCUAAUUUUUUUUUAUAUUUUUGUAGAGACGGGGUUUCACCAUGUUGGCCAGGCUGGUCUCGAACUCCUGAACUCAGGUGAUCCACCCGCCUCGGCCUCCCAAAUUGUUGGGAUUACAGACAUGAGCCCCUGCGCCUGGCCUUGGGGUAGGAAUCUUAAGGAAGUCAGUUUCGUAGUCAUGAAUUUCAUAGAACAGCUCAGAAACAUCUACCCAGAGGAGGAAGUAAUUUAUGGCAGAACAUCUCCUUGGUUUUCUGCUCAGCAGAAGGGACAGUGACAGACAAGGACAGCAAAGGGGGAGAGAAGUCUGUGUGUAGAUCUCCUUAAAGAGGCUCAUGUGUGCCGGGCGCAGUGGCUCACGCCUGUAAUCC
rnacentral:lncRNA from 10 species